rnacentral:rRNA from 1 species
GACGAACGCUGGCGGCGUGCUUAACACAUGCAAGUCGAACGGAAAGGCCCUGCGUUUGUGGGGUGCUCGAGUGGCGAACGGGUGAGUAACACGUGAGUAACCUGCCCUUGACUUUGGGAUAACUUCAGGAAACUGGGGCUAAUACCGGAUAGGAGCUCCUGCUGCAUGGUGGGGGUUGGAAAGUUUCGGCUGUUGUGGAUGGACUCGAGGCUUAUGAGCUUGAUGGUGGGGUAGUGGCUUACCAAGGCUUUGACGGGUAGCCGGCCUGAGAGCGUGACCGGCCUCCUUGGGCCUGCGAUACGCCCCAGACUCCUACGGGCGGCAGCAGUCGGGAGUAUUGCACAAUGGGCGGACGCCUGAUGCAGCAACGCCGCGUGCGUGAUGCCGUCCUUCGGGUUGUAAACCGCUUUCGCCUGUGACGAAGCGUGAGUGACGGUAAUGGGUAAAGAAGCACCGGCUAACUACGUG